rnacentral:rRNA from 1 species
CCUACGGGAGGCUGCAGUGAGGAAUAUUGGUCAAUGGGCUUACGCCUGAACCAGCCAAGUCGCGUGAGGGAAGACUGCCCUAUGGGUUGUAAACCUCUUUUGUCAGGGAGAAACGCCGGCUACGUGUAGCCGGACUGAGAGUACCUGAAGAAAAAGCAUCGGCUAACUCCGUGCCAGCAGCAGCGGUAAUACGGAAGGUCCGGGCGUUAUCCGGAUUGAUUGGGUUUAAAGGGAGCGUAGGCCGGUCUUUAAGCGUGCCGGGAAAUUUUGUGGCUCAACCAUGAGAGUGGGGCGGGACCUGGAGACCUUGAGUGCGCGGAAGGCAGGCAGAAUUCGUGGUGUAGCGGUGAAAUGCUUAGAUAGCACGAAGAACCCCGAUUGCGAAGGCAGCCUGCCGCAGCGUUACUGACGCUGAAGCUCGAAAGCGCGGGUAUCGAACAGGAUUAGAUACCCCAGUAGUC